rnacentral:rRNA from 1 species
CCUACGGGAGGCAGCAGUGAGGAAUAUUGGUCAAUGGGCGGAAGCCUGAACCAGCCAAGUAGCGUGCAGGAUGACGGCCCUACGGGUUGUAAACUGCUUUUAUACGGGAACAACGCGCCUUACGUGUAGGGCUUUGCAUGUACCGUAUGAAUAAGGACCGGCUAAUUACGUGCCAGCAGCCACGGUAAUACGGAAGGUCCGGGCGUUAUCCGGAUUUAGUGGGUUUAAAGGGAUGGUUGGUCGGAUGUCAAGCGUGCCGUGAAAUGUCCGGUGUAAACCCGGGCCUUGCAGCGCAAACUGGCGUGCUUGAGUCCGCGGAAAGCAGGCGGAAGUCGUCGUGUAGCGGUGAAAUGCUUAGAUAUGACGAAGAACCCCGAUUGCGAAGGCAGCUUGCUGCAGCGGAACUGACGCUGAUGCUCGAAAGCGCGGGUAUCGAACAGGAUUAGAUACCCUAGUAGUC